AGGUGGUGGCAUGGCAAAGACUUGUUGGGGAUUAGAAGUUGCACCCUGCGAUGCGCCACCCUGAGGUUGAACGGUCACUGGUUCUUCGUCACUUUCUUCCUCCUGUCGAAAAGAAAUAUUUCAGUUUUCUUUGAAAAGAGAAGAACUUACCUUUGAGAACUUUAAGGGUUGACUUGUCACAACAUCGACUUCCGGAUUCUGGUCCCGCUAUAAUACAACAACAACAUAAACAAAACCGCUAGUCUAUGUAUGCCUUUCUGCAAAACUAAGCAGAACCUCGCAUGCUCGGCAAUGGAAAAUGUUCGCGUGCAAUGUACAAAUAGUGCCGGUUUGCGAAUAACAAGCAUAAUCAAGUAUGAUGUUUUACUCGUUAAAUAAAAUGUAUCUACCUCCAUGAAGAUGAAAUAUAAAAAGAUGAAAGUGUGAUCAACGGGUGCUGAAAGGUAUCGAAUUAACAAAGCAGGGCAAAUACCAGAUGAAUUAAUAUUAUCUUAAAUUGUACUAAAUAUGAUUGGAAAGAGUUGCUCUUGCUGAAAAUGCACGCAAGAGAACAAGAAUUGCUUAAUUACAAGACUGACUCACAAUGUGCUUUUCUUACCCUAUAAAUAAUAUAUUUUUUUUUUUUUUGUACAGACUGUUAAACAAUGACUUUUCAUUAUAUUAAAAUUCCAUAUAGUAAUCUAGUUUUAACUAAAUUUGAAAUCUUAAAUUAUAAACUUUAUGUUUUUAUAAUGCCAUGUGAAAUGACACGCCCUGAAAGUGUUAUAAGUACCAUACUUUCAAAAUUAUUGACACAAUAUUCCUGAAAAUAGUUGCUCCGAAUUAUAACUUUAAAAUACAUUUAAACUAGGUGAUUGGUCUUAGGUGCAACACAUAUUUCAUUAUAUCUUAGAUGAAACAGAAAAUUUGUCAUGAUUUUAUGUCCAAAC